UCCCUGGUGGCUCAGAUGGUAAAGUAUCUGCCUGCAAUGCGGGAGACCUGGGUUCGAUCCCUGGGUUGGGAA
rnacentral:tRNA from 1 species